CUCGCAAUGUAGAGGCGCUAGUCAGAGGUGCUUCGGUUGUGUUAACGUUGGUGUAGCUCUCUCCAACGUUGGGAUGCUACACAACUAAAAUAACGCUCGCAGCCCAGAUCCUCCACUAAAAUAAUGCUCACUCGCUCAGCUCCCUCCUCACGCUAUCCUCUCAUCGCCUUCUAUAUCCCGACCACACACAAUACUCCCAAAAUCACGCCGACGGCAACUCCGUAACAGCACCGAUUUUGAAGCACACCUCCGCCCCCUUCCUCUGCCGCUCCCAUGGCGCGGCUUCCUCCUCAAGCUGCCCGGCGCUGCUUCGCCGGUGGCGCAGCCGCAGGAGUCCAACGGGCGGGGGUCCAGGCGGUGCUCGACGAUGCAGCCGGCGUUGGGGAGGAGUCGCGUCAGGUAACGCCAGAGGUGAAGGACCUAGUCCAGGUGAUUCUCGACGAGCCGUGUGCAUAGGGGAGCAGGAUAUGUCUUCUACCUGAGGUGUGGAGGGAAGACGAGAAGGGUGUGGAGGGCGAGGUCGCUGCCGGAGCUCUGCCGGACUGAGGUUGAUUUGGUGUUGCAUUUUCAGCUAGUAGCUCGAUUUGUGCAUCUGCGUCUGCCACAUGGAGAGGCUUCCCUUGCUGCUGUUGUUUCCCAACGUGUUCUGAUUCUUGAUCUUUGUUCGGCCUAAACAUCAAUAUUUAUUCUAUCCUAUUUGCUAUCCUUUCAGGUCUGGGGAUGGGGUUGUUGGAUGAAGGGAGGAGGAGCUGGCAAAGGGCUGCAGGGUGAGUACUUGAUCCUCUGCUAUAUAUUUCAGUGUGGUGAAAAAACUAGAUUUCUGGACCAUAUAGUUGAUUAUUUGAUCAUUCGUAGAUUAUAUAGUUUUCCCUGCCUGCUUGUACUUAGUUGCCAUGUCAUAUGUUGCAUACUUUAGAUCAUCUGUUCAUGUUCAUCUCAUCAGAAGCUACUGGAGCUUUUACUACAGGCUAGGAUUUGUGAAGUGACAUGUCUCAUUGAUUUGAUCUGAUACAUACAGCUGGUCUAAUUUAUUCGGACAUGUAGACAAAAGAACAAGGUGAUUUUGCUUAUCUCAUCUAUCACUUGGCAAAAAUAAAACAUCGAUGUUCACUGAAACGAGCUGUCACCAGAAGUACACGUAUCCAAAAGAAAUAGAAAAAAAUGGUAUCAUUAACUGAACUACUGAUUCAACCUUAUUUCAACCUACAAUCGCCUAAAAUGAUAUCAAAUUAUGCAUCAUUGUCUUAUCACUAGGAAGUUGAUCCAGUUCCAGUGGGGCUCAUUCCUUAGCAUAUUGCAUGAGUUCAGAUCUUUGAAGGACUUGUUUGUUUCUGACUUGUACAGAUCAAGUGCUCUAGACACUAAUUCAUCACUGGAUCUGCCAUUAAUGUACAAAUCUCUCACCCUACGCCACAUGCUAACAAAUAGGACAAUUCUAUGAUUCAGCUUAUACCAGUGUCGCUUGCAUUGGAUUGUCUGCCUCCGUCGUUCAUGAAGACUAUUUUCGUUGAAAUCGUCGGUGAUUUGGUUCCACAAAUCCUCUAAAUUUUCAUAGAUAGCCUGAAUUGAGUUGUUUAAGCAUGCAAAGAUCUGCAUGUUGGACAUACUACAGUAAUUAAGAACAAUUUUAGAAACCAAUCAUUGUAGAUAGUGAAAACAACCUCUUACCAGUUGUACAUCUUCUUCUUCAGUCCAUUGCAAGUGUAUGCUUCCGUUCACAAUUGCACCUUCAAGAUUCAUUUUCUUGGAUGAAAGUGGGUUAUGCGUGUACUGGUUAAAUGCCAUGAUAUUCAUAGAGUGUUGACAACUAGUAUCUCAACCACCACGGUUGUUAUGUUGCAUGUGCAUGGACUUAUUCCAUAGGUGAUCUAGUUAGGCAAUUGAAUUGGUCCCUGGACAUAUAGCAAGACAUUUCAUGGAUGUUAUCUUGCAUGUGCAUGGACUUAUCCCCUGGGUGGAAGCAUGCAAGUGGUGAUAUAGACCAUUUCAGCCAUGAUCGAGAUAAUAGCAUUCUACAUGAUAGAUUGAAACAACGAAAAAUAUCUUUAGUUUGUUUCUUCAAAUAACUUAUUUUAGAGACAAAUCAAAGCUUUAAAAGGAAACACAUUACA